GAUGAACGCUGGCGGCGUGCCUAAUACAUGCAAGUAGAACGCUGAAGGAGGAGCUUGCUCUUCUGGAUGAGUUGCGAACGGGUGAGUAACGCGUAGGUAACCUGCCUGGUAGCGGGGGAUAACUAUUGGAAACGAUAGCUAAUACCGCAUGACAACAGUUAUUGCAUGAUAACUGUUUAAAAGGGGCAACUGCUCCACUACCAGAUGGACCUGCGUUGUAUUAGCUAGUUGGUGAGGUAACGGCUCACCAAGGCGACGAUACAUAGCCGACCUGAGAGGGGGAUCGGCCACACUGGGACUGAGACACGGCCCAGACUCCUACGGGAGGCAGCAGUAGGGAAUCUUCGGCAAUAGACGGAAGUCUGACCGAGCAACGCCGCGUGAGUGAAGAAGGUUUUCGGAUCGUAAAGCUCGGUUGUAAGAGAAGAACGAGUGUGAGAGUGGAAAGUUCACACUGUGACGGUAUCUUACCAGAAAGGGACGGCUAACUACGUG
rnacentral:rRNA from 1 species